rnacentral:rRNA from 1 species
CCUACGGGGGGCAGCAGUGGGGGAUAUUGCACAAUGGGGGAAACCCUGAUGCAGCGACGCCGCGUGUGGGAAGACGGUCCUCUGGAUUGUAAACCACUGUCCCCAGGGACGAAGAUGACGGUACCUGGGGAUGAAGCUCCGGCUAAAUACUUGCCAGCAGCCGCGGUAAUAAGUAGGGAGCGAGCAUUGUCAGGAAUUACUGGGAGUAAGGGGAGCGUAGGCGGGACUGCAAGUUGGGUGUCAAAUCUACCGGCUCAACCGGUAGCCGCACUCGAAACUGCAGUUCUUGAGUGAAGUAGAGGUAAGCGGAAUUCCGAGUGUAGCGGUGAAAUGCGUAGAUAUUAGGAGGAACACCAGUGGCGAAGGCGGCCUGCUGGGCUUUUACUGACGCUGAGGCUCGAAAGUGUGGGGAGCAAACAGGAUUAGAUACCCUAGUAGUC